GGAUCAUGUUUGGUUUCUUGUUUCAGUCUUUAGAUAAAGAAACACUCACGGCUUAAAACAGAAAAAUAAAAAUAAAAGAAUGUGUUGCUCUUUUUGUUUGUUAUGGGAUCAGCCAAUCAAUAUUUCACCAACUUGCUAAUAUGUAAAAGACAGACAAAUAGGAGUAACAGUGAAGAUGAUGGUUGUGAUGUGAUGAAACCUAUGCCGUUUAAGAAAAGUGAGUAUCAAUUAGCUGAGCUUUGUAAAGUAAGAAUGAACAAGUUCCAAAAUAUUUAGAUCCAAAAGAUCUUCCUAUGGAGCUUGGUUGUGAAAAUGCUAACUGAGAUUUCUCCAGCAUGCACCCAUUGUUGCAAAAGCUUUCCCUGCGAUUUUAUACAAACAAACAAACAAAAUGUCACCAUAAUGUAUGAAUGUUUGUUCACCAUGACAAUUGUUUUAGGUAGUUUGCUAGAGUUGUUAACCUCGUGGUAUCGAGUAACCAUGUGGCUAUGCCUUUUCUUCUAUUAGAAGGUGAGACCCAAAUCGCUCUAAUCCCACAAACAGCUGGUUUAGCUUCUUCUUCACAUACAAUGACUCCGUUAUCUAAUCUAUCAUCUGAUGUUCGACAUCUUUUCGAUACCUCUCUUUGUAGAACAAUGUUUCCAAACUGAAUGGAGGUUGAAGGCGAGGAUGAGCUCUCUUUUUGUAACUGUCUUUCAUCAUCAGGAGAAGCUAUGAGCUUAAAUGCUUCCUUAAUUGGUUCAGCAACUAGACAUCCAGAGAUCCUCUGAGAGGAUAUGAAUAGAUAAACCUACACAUAACAAGAUAGUUUCUAAAACAACUGAGGAAAGUAAUUAGGGGUUAUAUCAUCUUUCUUGUGAAUUUAUUGAAAUGAGGUCAUCUAAAGAUAUCAUAGACUUUUUUGUUUGAUUUCAAUGCUAG